rnacentral:rRNA from 1 species
AUUGAACGCUGGCGGCAGGCCUAACACAUGCAAGUCGAACGAGAGGCGGACGGGUGAGGAAUGUCUGGGAAACUGUCCGAUGGAGGGGGAUAACUACUGGAAACGGGAGCUAAUAUCGCAUACCAUAGGGUGUGCCCAGAUGGGAUUAGCUAGUAGGUGGGGUAAAGGCUCACCUAGGCGACGAUCCCUAGCUGGUCUGAGAGGAUGACCAGCCACACUGGAACUGAGACACGGUCCAGACUCCUACGGGAGGCAGCAGUGGGGAAUAUUGCACAAUGGGCGCAAGCCUGAUGCAGCCAUGCCGCGUGUAUGAAGAAGGCCUUCGGGUUGUAAAGUACUUUCAGCGAGGAGGCGUUACUCGCAGAAGAAGCACCGGCUAACUCCGUGCCAGCAGCCGCGGUAAUUC